AUUGAACGCUGGCGGCAUGCCUUACACAUGCAAGUCGAACGGCAGCACGGACUUCGGUCUGGUGGCGAGUGGCGAACGGGUGAGUAAUGUAUCGGAACGUACCUUUCAGUGGGGGAUAACGUAGCGAAAGUUACGCUAAUACCGCAUAUUCUGUGAGAAGGAAAGCAGGGGAUCGCAAGACGUAGCGCUGAUUGAGCGGCCGAUAUCAGAUUAGCUAGUUGGUGGGGUAAAGGCCUAACAAGGCUAAGAUCUGUAGCGGGUCUGAGAGGAUGAUCCGCCACACUGGAACUGAGACACGGUCCAGACUCCUACGGGAGGCAGCAGUGGGGAAUUUUGGACAAUGGGGGCAACCCUGAUCCAGCCAUGCCGCGUGAGUGGAGAAGGCCUUCGGGUUGUAAAGCUCUUUCGGCCGGGAAGAAAUCGCAUAGGCUAAUACCCUGUGUGGAUGACGGUACCGGAAUAAGAAGCACCGGCUAACUACGUGCCAGCAGCCGCCGUAA
rnacentral:rRNA from 1 species